ensembl:lncRNA
AUUAACUCUUCUACUUUAUUUUCAGAUGAGCUGCUUGAUUUCUGCCUGUGGAAGUCUUAGUUUCUAACUGGUGGCUAAAGUCAUGCCCUACUUUGAAGAACAUUUACUUGCUGGAGUUUCACCCUUCCCUGGGCUUGGCAUCUUUAAUCCCGAAAGCUCUUGAGUACGUCUCUCAGGAGUUCUAUAGCAUCUGUAGACCAAAAACACCCAGUGAGGCAACUAGUCUAGAAAAACAAGUACUUCAGCUAGCAGUGGAUGAAUGGCUGGCCAUGGAAAAGCCUGAAUCUUCAUACAGCUCUCAAAUUCAGAAAGAUUUAUUUGCAGACACACUGCUGGAAGACCCACUCCUUGUGCGGGAUAUUGCUAUGUUAGCACUAGAGUCAGGAACAGAUGAAGAAAAGAAGCAAGGCAGAGAAAAAAAAGCCUUUAUUCUGGACAUCUUCUCCAGACUCCUGGAACUCAUCACACUCCGCCAUCGAUUGAUAGAGGCAGCCCUGGAGAGUGCACAGUUGGCUAGGAUGUACAAGGCAUUUGCAGGGGAGAUGGGUUUUGAUGAGUUCCAUUUAUACUUGAGGCCAGUGCACUUUGAAUUUGCAUCUCACAAGGAGAAAGCAGACCAGCCCCCACCAAUAUUCAUUACAGCUCUCCUAGAAGAUGACAGUAGUGUGGACAGAUAUAUUCCAUCAAAUUUAUUGUUAAGCAUUCAAGAGAUUGACAAUAAUCAAAUUGGAAAAUUUAGCUUUCAUACAAGAGAUGGUGUUAUUCAGCUCUUAUCCCCAUCUGGAGUGGAGAACAUGCAGAUCACUCUUGCCUGUCAAGUCACUCAAAAAAAUGCUCUUAUUGUUGCUGUUCAGCAAGCCUCAUUUUGUCACAUGAUCCAGCCUACACGUACAGUGGACAUGAAGGAAGCAAAUUUAAGUUUGAAGAGUCAAAGCAGCUCAGCAAGUGGAAGAAAUUCAAGAUCUGGAAAUGAAACAGAAAAACAGUCACUGAUGGCUGCACCAGCAACUUCAUAUUCUACAGGGCACCCUUUAGAUGGACACUGGACCAUUAAAAGGUAAUGUUACAUCCUGGCCCAGUCCCUAUCUCUUGAUGGAUAUUAAUACAUUUAAAUGCACCCAAAUCCUGGGCCCCAAGUGCUUCUAAGCCCCCUGAGUCUGGUUAGUGACUGGUAACUGUUCCUAGCUCUGGGUCUCUCAGGCAUACUCCCAUGUGCAGACCUCAUGUCUGACAUCCUUCUUGGGCAGUAGGACCCUGCAGUUCAGCUGUCUUAAAUCCCAGAACAAGUGGCAUGGCCCUCCUGAGCCCCCAGAUGCUUAGACUCAUUCUGUCCUUCCAAGAUCACCUGGCUGUGGGAGUUCUGGUUUCAAGUUAAACCCUUCAAAGGCAACGUGGAAUACAAGCAUAGCACAGGAAUUUCUUGACCACAGACACUUUUAGGCAACACUAAAGAGUUACAGAUCUUUGGAAGAUAACACAGUCCUGAAUGCAGUCCCCUGCCAAGUCUGAUCUCACCGUGGGUCUGAGGUUUGGCCAGCAUCCUUAGGCCUGUCAUCUUCUUACCUGUGCUGGUGGUUUGGGUCUCCAGCUCAGAAAAGCAGCCCCCUUUUAAUAUAGUCUCUCUCCCCUUCUUCCCUAUGUACUCUAGGCUGAGGAACUGCAGACCAACCCUUUUUUCAAGCAACCUUCUGUGUAGUGUUCAUUGCUCUUAUGGAUGGGUGUUAAGAGAUCAUCAGAGUUGGUGGUUUUUGCUGGCUGUCUCAUGGUAGACCUCUUGGAGGUGGAGGUUACAAUGGAAAGUGAAGGUUAUAAACAAAAUAGAAUUCACAAAACGACAUGGAAUUCCCAAUUCACUCAAACAUACUCCUGGUGUAUCACAGAUAUCUGUUAAUGUGGGGAGGAGACAAAUGCUGCAUCUUGGCAGGAGAUUAGACUAGAUGAUUCUUGCGGUCCCUUCUAACCUCAUGGUUCUAUGUUUGUAAAUAUUUUGUUUCUAUUUCCAUAUAUUUCACUUACAAUGGAACCAAAGAUAUGUGUAUUGCUAGUCUGUACUUGGGUUUU